UACGAACUGUGCGAACGUUAUUCGGAAUCACUGGGCUUACAGGGUGCGUAGGCGGCUCAACAAGUCAGGUGUGAAAGCCCCCGGCUCAACCGGGGAACUGCGCUUGAAACUGUUAGGCUCGAGUCAGCUAGAGGUACACGGAACUUCCAGUGGAGCGGUGAAAUGUGUUGAUAUUGGAAGGAACACCGGAGGCGAAAGCGGUGUACUGGGGCUGGGUCUGACGCUGAGGCACGAAAGCCAGGGGAGCGAACGGG
rnacentral:rRNA from 1 species